UGGCAAGCUAGAGGCUAUGAAAUGCCAAAA
rnacentral:piRNA from 1 species